rnacentral:lncRNA from 1 species
AAAUUAGAUGAACUAGGUAUUAUGAAAAGACUUGGGAAAAUUGAGAAUAUUGAUAAACAUUUACAAUUUUACAAACUGUUGAAGUGUAUUCUACUUAUAUGCCUCUUAGGAUAUUUUUCAGGCACUCAGAAGCAAAAGCUGUUUACUGUUCCUUUGCAACAAACAGAGCUCUAAUUGGGUUGCGGUUUUUUUCCUCUCUAUGUAUUUUCCAGGAGUUCCAAGGAGUGGAUAAGGAUUGGUUUAAAUCAUAGUAGUUGCAGCCUUCUCAUUAAUGACUGGUUUAGGCACGGAAGCAUGAUAGAAUUCUGACCCAGAACCUGAUGGUGUAUUCUGAGGGGCCAAUGGAAAAGGUCUCUUUGCUAUUAAAAGAGAUAUUUGGGAAUAAACCAUCUUCUUUCAAUUAGCCUGAGAAGACAUAUUGAGUUAGGGAGAGGAGGAAGAGGAAAAGAAACUGGGACCCGAAGACAUUGUUGAGCUACAGACUGAACCAACCCUGAGAUGAUACUUUCUUCAACUUAUUGACAUGUGAGAUAAUUAAUAGCUUUAUUCUUAAGCUGUUUGAUUUGGAUUUUUCUAUUGCAUGAAGCUUAAAACAUUAUCAUGACUCCUUCGUGUUUGUAUGAUGUAUAUAAAUACUCAUAGAUUAUUUUUUUGAAUAUACAAAAGAGUUGAUUCAACACUAUCUUAUCCUAUUUGCUGUUCAAUUAUUAGUCUCUGAAUAUCCAGAAUAACUAAAUGUUAUCACCACAUCCAUAUUGGAGUAUAUGUGAAAUUUGGCAAAUUUCUUCUUUGAACACUGUUAUGGUUUGGAUGUGAGGUGCCCCCCAAAAACUUAUGUGUGAGACAAUGCAAGAAGGUUUAGAGGAGAAAUGAUUGGGUUAUGAGAGCCUUAGUCAAUCAGUGAAUUAAUCCCCUGAUAUGGAUUAACUGAGUAGCAACUGAAGGUGAGUAGGAUGUGGCUCGAGAAGGUGGGCUUUGGGGGUGUGUCUUUGGGUUAUUUAUUUUGUAUCUGGUAAGCGGAGUCUCUCUCUGCUUUCUGAUUAUCUUGUAAGCCACUUCCCUCUGCCACAUUCUUCCACUAUGAUGUCCUGCCUCACUUUCAGUCCCAAGGAAUGGAGCUGACCUUCUAUGGACUGAGACGUCUGAAACCAUGAGCCCUCAAAUCAACUUUUCUUCCUCUAAAAUUGCUCUCAUUGGGUCUUUUAGUUACAGCAGCAAAAAAGCUCACUAAAACAUACACAUUGCCUAUUGGGGGUGUUAUGGUUACUGACUAGCAGAAGAUACAACUC